AUGUCAUGCAGCUGCGUCUCCGGCCCGCCCAGGACGAAAAGCCCAUUUUCUGUCAUGAUUUUUUGUCAUAGAAUGAGGGCCACCAUCAUUAAAGGUUGGAGCAACUUCUUCCGUCAGGCAUACAUGAACAAAGGGCAAGCAUAUGCUUUCACCUUCAAAUGCACUUCCAAGGGACGGCGCCUGACCGUCUACUCAAUAUAA
rnacentral:rRNA from 1 species